rnacentral:rRNA from 1 species
AUCCUGGCUCAGGACGAACGCUAGCGGCGUGCCUAAUACAUGCAAGUCGAACGGUCUUUUCUAUGGAAGCUUGCUUCCACUGAGAAGAUAGUGGCGAACGGGUGAGUAACACGUGGGUAACCUGCCCAUAAGAGGGGGAUAACAUCCGGAAACGGGUGCUAAUACCGCAUAGUUUUCUUGAUCGCAUGAUCGGGAAAGGAAAGACGGCCUUUGUGCUGUCGCUUAUGGAUGGACCCGCGGCGUAUUAGUUAGUUGGUGAGGUAACGGCUCACCAAGACGAUGAUACGUAGCCGACCUGAGAGGGUGAUCGGCCACAUUGGGACUGAGACACGGCCCAAACUCCUACGGGAGGCAGCAGUAGGGAAUCUUCCGCAAUGGACGAAAGUCUGACGGAGCAACGCCGCGUGAGUGAAAGAAGGUUUUCGGAUCGUAAAACUCUGUUGUCAGAGAAGAACAAGUUGGAGAGUAACUGCUCCAGCCUUGACGGUAUCUGACCAGAAAGCCACGGCUAACUACGUGCCAGCCGCCGC